AGUGAACGCUGGCGGUAGGCCUAACACAUGCAAGUCGAACGGCAGCACAGUAAGAGCUUGCUCUUACGGGUGGCGAGUGGCGGACGGGUGAGGAAUACAUCGGAAUCUACUUUUUCGUGGGGGAUAACGUAGGGAAACUUACGCUAAUACCGCAUACGACCUACGGGUGAAAGCAGGGGAUCUUCGGACCUUGCGCGAUUGAAUGAGCCGAUGUCGAAUUAGCUAGUUGGCGGGGUAAAGGCCCACCAAGGCGACGAUCCGUAGCUGGUCUGAGAGGAUGGUCAGCCACACUGGAACUGGGACACGGUCCAGGCGCCUAAGGGAGGCAGCAGUGGGGAAUAUUGGACAAUGGGCGGAAGCAUGAUACAGCCAUACCGCGUGGGUGAAGAAGGCCUUCGGGUUGUAAAGCCCUUUUGUUGGGAAAGAAAAGCAGCAGGUUAAUACCCCGCUGUUCUGACGGUACCCAAAGAAUAAGCACCGGCUAACUUCGUG
rnacentral:rRNA from 1 species